GACAGAGGCCCCGAGCGUUAAUCGGAAUUACUGGGCGUAAAGCGUGCGCAGGCGGUUCGCCAAGUCAGGUGUGAAAUCCCCGGGCUUAACCUGGGAAUUGCGCUUGAAACUAGCGGGCUUGAGUGUGGCAGAGGGGGGUGGAAUUCCACGUGUAGCAGUGAAAUGCGUAGAGAUGUGGAGGAACACCGAUGGCGAAGGCAGCCCCCUGGGUCAACACUGACGCUCAUGCACGAAAGCGUGGGGAGCAAACAGG
rnacentral:rRNA from 1 species